rnacentral:rRNA from 1 species
UGAGGAAUAUUGGACAAUGGGCGCAAGCCUGAUCCAGCCAUGCCGCGUGAGUGAUGAAGGCCUUAGGGUUGUAAAACUCUUUUAGUGGGGAAAAUAAUGAUGGUACCCACAGAAAAAGCUCCGGCUAACUUCGUGCCAGCAGCCGCGGUAAUACGAAGGGAGCUAGCGUUACUCGGAAUCACUGGGCGUAAAGCGCAUGUAGGCGGAAUUAUAAGUCAGGGGUGAAAUCCCAAGGCUCAACCUUGGAAUUGCCUUUGAAACUGUAAUACUUGAGUAUGGUAGAGGAUAGUGGAAUUUCCAGUGUAGAGGUGAAAUUCGUAGAUAUUGGAAAGAACACCGGUGGCGAAGGCGGCUAUCUGGACCAUUACUGACGCUGAGAUGCGAAAGCGUGGGGAGCAAACGGGAUUAGAUACCCCUGUAGUCC